rnacentral:rRNA from 1 species
GGGGAAUAUUGCACAAUGGGCGAAAGCCUGAUGCAGCGACGCCGCGUGAGGGAAGAAGGUUUUCGGAUUGUAAACCUCUGUCUUCGGGGACGAUAAUGACGGUACCCGAGGAGGAAGCCACGGCUAACUACGUGCCAGCAGCCGCGGUAAAACGUAGGUGGCAAGCGUUGUCCGGAAUUACUGGGUGUAAAGGGAGCGCAGGCGGAAGGGCAAGUUGGGAGUGAAAACUAUGGGCUCAACCCAUAGACUGCUUUCAAAACUGCUUUUCUUGAGUGAUGUAGAGGUAGGCGGAAUUCCCGGUGUAGCGGUGGAAUGCGUAGAUAUCGGGAGGAACACCAGUGGCGAAGGCGGCCUACUGGGCAUUUACUGACGCUGAGGCUCGAAAGUAUGGGGAGCAAAC